rnacentral:piRNA from 1 species
UUACUGUGUGACAGUACUUAUGACCUGA